AUUGAACGCUGGCGGCAGGCCUAACACAUGCAAGUCGAACGAGUGGCGGACGGGUGAGUAAUGUCUGGGAACCUGCCCGAUGGAGGGGGAUACCUACUGGAAACGGUAGCUAAUACCGCAUACCAUCAGAUGUGCCCAGAUGGGAUUAGCUAGUGGGUGGGGUAACGGCUCACCAAGGCGACGAUCCCUAGCUGGUCUGAGAGGAUGACCGGCAACACGGGAACUGAGAAACGGUCCAGACUCCGACGGGAGGCAGCAGUGGGGAAUAUUGGACAAUGGGCGCAAGCCUGAUGCAGCCAUGCGGCGUGUAUGAAGAAGGCCUUCGGGUUGUAAAGUACUUUCAGCGAGGAGGCGUUACCCGCAGAAGAAGCACCGGCUAACUCCGUGCCAGCAGCCGCGGUAAUUC
rnacentral:rRNA from 1 species